GAUGAACGCUGGCGGCGUGCCUAAUACAUGCAAGUCGAGCGAACAGAUGAGAAGCUUGCUUCUCUGAUGUUAGCGGCGGACGGGUGAGUAACACGUGGGUAACCUACCUAUAAGACUGGGAUAACUCCGGGAAACCGGGGCUAAUACCGGAUAAUAUGUUGAACCGCAUGGUUCAAUAGUGAAAGACGGUUUCGGCUGUCACUUAUAGAUGGACCCGCGCCGUAUUAGCUAGUUGGUAAGGUAACGGCUUACCAAGGCGACGAUACGUAGCCGACCUGAGAGGGUGAUCGGCCACACUGGACCUGAGACACGGUCCAGACUCCUACGGGAGGCAGCAGUAGGGAAUCUUCCGCAAUGGGCGAAAGCCUGACGGAGCAACGCCGCGUGAGUGAUGAAGGUCUUCGGAUUGUAAAACUCUGUUGUUAGGGAAGAACAAAUUUGUUAGUAACUGAACAAGUCUUGACGGUACCUAACCAGAAAGCCACGGCUAACUACGUGCCAGCAGCCGCAGUAA
rnacentral:rRNA from 1 species